UCAAGCCUCAAAACAAAGACCCCCCUGCUCCACAAAGCCUCUGCAGGUCAGCCUCCCCUCUACCUGCCACCACCUGGCUCCCUCCCAAAGUCCCAGGAGUCCAGGCAGGCAGAAGUCAUUCCCUUCUGCCUCAAGGACCACAGAACUCUCUGAACAAAGGAGACAAAGGCAACGCACAAUGCCAAGGCCAAAAUGGGGCUACCAGCCUCGUCCCCCAGGGAUGUGGCCUGGGGCUCUUCCUUCCCAGACAUUCCUUCGACAUGCGCCCCAGAGCCACCCUCACCUCCAUGGCAGCAGAAGAUCUUCUCGUCCACAAUGGCAGCAAUGGGCAGGCAGUUGAAGCAGUCAGUAAAAGUUUUCCACAGUU